rnacentral:rRNA from 1 species
UACGGAGGAUCCAAGCGUUAUCCGGAAUCAUUGGGUUUAAAGGGUCCGUAGGCGGCUUAAUAAGUCAGUGGUGAAAUCUCACAGCUCAACUGUGAAACUGCCAUUGAUACUGUUAGGCUUGAAUAAUUGUGAAGUAACUAGAAUAUGUAGUGUAGCGGUGAAAUGCUUAGAUAUUACAUGGAAUACCAAUUGCGAAGGCAGGUUACUAACAAUUUAUUGACGCUGAUGGACGAAAGCGUGGGGAGCGAACAGG